GAUCAGAUUGACAGCUACGGCGGUGAGACGAUCUCCCUAGAAGCUCUGUGAAGAAUGCCACCAGCAAAGAGAUGUCCUCGAUUCAGUGUGCAGGAUGUGAUUGCUGCCAUCCAACACGGAGAAAGUGAUUUUGAGAUGGAAUCAGAGGACAGUGACACUGCUACGAGUGAAGAAGAGGCAGUUGAAGAUGUCUGUGGACAAGUGGACAAAGUAAACCAACAACCCAAUGACCGCCCAGUCAGUGAUUAUGUGGACAUCGAGCCCCAACCACAUAAACACACCCAUGACAUGACAGGUAUCGCUGGCUGAAAAAAGAUUUUAUCAGUCCCAAUACUGAUUUUGCUGGUCCAGAUAUCACAGAGAAUGUCAUUUCCCUCCACACACCACUGGAGUACUUCCAGAAGUUUGUGUCAGAAGGCAUGAUUCAGGCUUUGGUAACCAACACAAAUGAGUACAGCUUUCAAAAGAAUGAAACAUCCAUCAACACAAAUAAAAAGGAAAUUGAGAAACUGAUUGGCAUGUACCUGAAGAUGGGCCUAGUACAAAUGUCUGGAGUCCGUAUGUAUUGGGAGACAGACACACGGUAUUCCCCUGUUUCUGAUGUGAUGGCACGCAACAGAUUCCAAUAUCUGUUGACAUUGUUACAUUUUGUAAACAACUUGACAGUGUCAGAGAUGGAAAAGAAAGACAAACUCUGGAAAGUCAGACCCUGGCUUGAUACAUUCAGAGAGAAAUGCCUGCAGGUGGUACCAGAAGAACACAACUCUGUGGGUGAGAUGGUGAUUCCUUUCAAGGGGAAAUUCAGUAGCAUUAAGCAAUACAUGCGAGGCAAGCCAAACCCAUGGGGAUUCAAAGUGUGGGUGAGAACUGGAGUCUCUGGCAUGAUCUGUGACUUUGAUGUGUACCAAGGCAGUGUCAAUGGGAUACGAGCCAAGUCUGAACUUGGAUUGUCAGGUGAUGUUGUGAUGAAGCUUGCCUCCACGCUUCCAGAAGGUCAGAACUACAAGGUCUACGCAGACAACUACUUCACCUGUGUCCCAUUGGUAGUGAAGCUCCUUGAUCGUGGGAUUCAUUACGUGGGAACAGCCAGGCAGGUGCGCUUACCCAACUGUAACCUUGAAGACGAGAAGAGCUUGAAGAAAAAAGGGUGAGGAAGCUUUGACAUCCGAGUGGAGACCAACCACAACAUCUGUGCUGUCAAAUGGUAUGACAGCAGAGCGGCCCCUAUGCAGAAAAUUCCACGCUGGGACAAAGCCAACAAAACCUACAUAGAAGUUGAGAGGCCUUACAUUGUGGGUACUUACAACAAGUACACGGGAGGUGUGGAUUUGUUGGACUCAUUUACGGCCAAAUACAAGUUCCCCAUGAAAUCCUGACGCUGGUACGUGUACAUCUUCUGGCACACCAUCAUCCUUGCUGUGAUCAACGCCUGGCUCCUCUACAAGCGGGACUGCAGCGCUCUAAAGAUGGAGCUGGAGAUCCUGAACAGGAGACAGUUUCAGGCAGAUCUAGCAUCCUCUCUCAUCCUGGUGAACACAACUCCUCUGAAAACACCCAAGAGAGGACAACCAUCUUCAGGCAACGGGAGCCCAGCACCGACGGUGACAUCAAGGAGCCCGUUGAAUGCUCAGAAGAGACCAUCCUCAGGUGAUGGGAGUCCACCAAGCUGGGCCCCAUCCAAGAGAUCACAGCCUCCACUGGAUGUACGCAAGGACCUAGUGGCACAUUUUCCAGUGAAGACAAAGAGAGGACGCUGCAGACACUGCAGUAAAGGGUACACAAACACCCAAUGCAGCAAGUGUGACGUCCGUCUGUGUUUUUCUGACGACAGGAACUGUCUUUGGGACUACCAUUGCAUUAUUAUUGAAUAAAUGACUAUUCAUAAAAAA